AUGGCAUCAGAACUGGCAAUGAGCAACUCCGACCUGCCCACCAGUCCCCUGGCCAUGGAAUAUGUUAAUGACUUCGAUCUGAUGAAGUUUGAAGUGAAAAAGGAGCCGGUGGAGCCCGAUCGCAACAUCAGCCAGUGCAGCCGCCUUAUUGCCGGGGGAUCCUUGUCUUCCACCCCGAUGAGCACGCCUUGCAGCUCGGUGCCCCCUUCUCCAAGCUUCUCGUCGCCCAGUCCGGGGUCGGGGAGCGAACAGAAGGCACACUUGGAGGAUUUCUACUGGAUGUCCGGUUAUCAACCGCAGUUGAAUCCGGAGGCGCUGGGCUUCAGCCCCGAAGACGCAGUUGAGGCGCUGAUCAACAGCAGUCACCAGCUCCAGUCCUUCGAUGGCUAUGCUAGAGGGCAGCAGUUUGCCGGCGGAGCCGGAGGAGGAGGCAACAUGGGCGGGGAAGAGAUGGGCUCUGCCGCGGCGGUGGUGUCCGCAGUUAUCGCCGCUGCAGCAGCCCAGAACGGGGGUCCCCAUCACCACCAUCACCACCACAACGGUGGCCACCAUCACCAAUCACCCGGUGUCUCGUCCAACGGCAGCUCCGGAGGAAACCACCCACACAUGGGACAUUUGGACGACCGGUUUUCGGACGACCAGCUGGUGGGCAUGUCGGUGCGGGAGCUCAACCGGCAGCUACGGGGAGUCAGCAAGGAAGAAGUGAUCCGGCUGAAACAGAAGAGGAGGACCCUAAAGAACAGAGGCUAUGCGCAGUCCUGCCGAUACAAGCGGGUGCAGCAGCGGCACGUCCUGGAGGGCGAGAAGACGCAGCUCGUCCAGCAAGUCGACCACCUCAAGGCGGAGAUCUCCAGGCUGGCCCGGGAGAGAGACGCAUACAAAGACAAAUAUGAGAAGCUCAUCAGCAACGGCUUCAGAGAAAAUGGAUCCAGCAGUGACAACAACCCUUCCUCCCCGGAGUUUUUCAUGUCAUCCAGAAAAUUCCUCCAUCUGUGAUCGAGAGCCUCGCCCCUCUGUGCCCUUGGCCUUGAUGUCUGAGAUGUUCUAGUGUGUGUGUGUGUGUGUGUGUGUGUGUGUGUGUGUGUGUGUGUGUGUGUGUGUGUGUGUGUGUGUGUGUGUGUGUGUGUGUGUGUGUGUGUGUGUGUGUGUGUGUGUGUGUGUGUGUGUUCAGACCUGACUGGGAAGACGGCAGGCAGGCACCUUACCCUAGUGGUGGCCCUGGCAGAGGGGGACUGGAGUUCAACACCCAGCAGGGGGAAAGAGACCCAGAUUCUGCUGACAAGGACAAAGUGACAGAUAACCUGGCGACUGAACGCUGAUGACUUAAGAGUGACUGAUCAAUGGCAUGAGGAACCCCACAAAGCACAACAUCAUCUAAAGAUGACUUCACUGGAGAAGAAGAAAAGAACCCCUAAAACCCCUGCAGAGAAAUGCUUCAGAGCCUCUUCCUACUCCCACUUCCUCUCCGCUAUUUUACCUCCAGCUUUUUUGUAAGAAAACAAAAACAAACAAAACAAAACACUGACUCAAAUGAUGAAUCAAGAUGAUUGACAACAUCAGAAGAAUAUUACUGGAGAAACCAUUUCCUCUGUAGGGGGGGGGGGGACAAAACUUUGAUGCAUGUUACUGUAAGUAGUUCAUCUAAAACCCCACCUUUUUCCCCCAAGUGGGAUCCUCCACUAAGAAGACUCAUCCAAGUCCAGCGUUCCUGAUAUAGGAUAAAAUACCCAAGCAACCCACCUCCUCCCUCUGAAAUCCCUUACUCUAUCUUCCCUACUACCAUUGACAAUAUGUUCCUCGUUUUAGAGAACUUACUUCCUGUUUCAUUUUGGAGUUAGUUAGACUGUAAGACUACUAUAGUGUAUACUAUUUGCAUAAUGAACCAGUCUUCCUCUCCAAUGGACAUGAGUGAUGUACUAUAGCAUGGAUCUGACUUUACUGUAUUCCUCAGUACGCUUGUAGAUCACAAAACUCAUAAUUGUGGAUAGUACAACGAUUACACCUUUUUAAUCCUAGAUUCCUAUCUUUACCAGGCAGUAUUAACUUACUGUAUACCAAGUAGGGCAUUUCGUUGACCUGUACAUUUGACUAAAUGCAUAGAAAGGCAAGUAAUAGCUCAUUGUAUUAUUUGAAUAGCUGCAGACAUAUUAGGGAAACAUUUCUGUCUAUAAAGACCAUGGGACUGUGACUGAGUCAUAUAGUGUUGACUAUAUUAUGAAGGUAUAACCCAGAAUAAAGUCUUAGAGAGUAAACAUA